ACCUUCUUUAAAAAAAAAAAAAAAAACACCCAAAAACAUUAAAAAUUUUUUUAAAUACCACAUUCCAAAGUGGGCUGUAGCUACCGUGGUCUGUUUGGAUUUUUGCAUGGGCAAUACAAUCUGGAACUCAAGACUGAAAUGAUCUUGUUUUUAAAAAUGUAGCGAAUAUGCUUCAGAGACAAAGUUCUGUGGGUGCAAUGAUUUACCGCGUGCUUCCGUCCUCUCUGCGCCAGUUGAAACUGAGGCCAAAUGCGGAAGCGAUGGGCUACGAAUGCUCAGAAGUAGAGAUGGAAGUCAUCUGGGUCUGUUCAUUGAUCACGGACAGCUCGCUCACCGUUUCCUCAGACCCGAGCUGCCACACAACUUUAUGCUUGCAUUUAAAAUUUUAUAUCUAAUUGAGGUCUUGGGUGAAGAAGAGAGGAGGAGGAGAGGGAAGUAGCCUUUGUUUGCUUUUAAGGUCAGGCAGUCAAUUUGACAGCUGAGCUUAUGUAACCUUUAGCUUCUCCUAAUUAGAAAUCUUCAAAGUACCUGGCUCUCCGUAGGAUGCCAAUUUGCUAGAGAAGCCGCGGGCAGCCUCCGUGGGAGAAGUCAAUGUGAAGCCUUAACCAACAAAAUUACCAGAGCUUCAGCUCUCUCCGUUUUCAUCUCUGCCUGCUACUUCUUGGCUCCAGAUAGACCGGUUUCCUAUUCCCUUGUUCCCUCGCUACCCCUUCACUCAUCCACUCAGCAAGCACUCGGUGAGCCCCGUGUGCCAGCCGAGAUGAUGAGAUGAGAUGACAGACGCAGAGUCUGCUGGGCGAGCAGGGGGCCCCGGCUAACUCGGGUAAGGACAGCGGAGGAGAAGAGCACAGGGACUGAGGAGGCCUUGGAGUGCCACAUCUCACCUGGUCGGGGCGGUCAGAGAGGACUCCCGAAAGGUGCGGAACCUGAGCCGCAUCUUAAGACACGAGUGGAAAAAAUACACUGCGCUAAAUAAUCAUGCAUUUUCCCUUUGCCACUGGCUUCUGCGUGGACGUGCAUCUGCCAGAGCCUCUCACCCCACACAGCCGAGUGCCACGUACGUGCUUUUCGGAGGUGGCCCCGGCUCCGUCCUGUGCCUCGGUGCGUGUUGGGGGGCAGGGCCUGUGGAACGGCAGUGUACCAUCUUAGGGCCCAGGCUGCGUGACUGUGGUCCCCUGGUCCAAGGCAGAUGAUACUGAACAUUCUUGUCAUAAAAUAGAGACUAUAACAAAAGUCACGGUGCUACCUUUGUCUUAUCUCUGAUCUUACAGGAAGUGCUUUCAACACUUUACCAUUAAAUGGAGGAUCUGCUAAAGAUCGCUAGAAGCUUUUUAUCAGAUUGAGCAAGUUCUCUAGAGCCAUAGAUUCCUAAUAGUUUUUGGAAUACAAUGUUGAAUUUCAUUAAUUUUUUUCUCCACCUAUCAAGAUAAUAGUUUUCCCUUCUAAUUUGUUAAGGUAGUAAACUGAUGUAUUUUUAAUGCUAAACCAAUCUUAUAUUUCUGAGAAGAAACAUAACUAGUCACAACAUGUCUUUUUUAUACACUGGAAAAUGUUUUAUUGGUUAUUAUUUUACUUUAUUUCCAUGGGUGAAAUUGAUGUUUACUUUUUUGUACUGCAUUUGGUAUUAAAGUCUUUUAACCUCAUACAA